GAUAUACUCCCUCUGUUCCGAAUUACUUGUCUCAAAAAUGGAUGUAUCUAGAACUAAAAUACAUCUAGAUACAUCCAUUUCUACGACAAGUAAUUCCGAACGGAGGGAGUAGAAG
rnacentral:pre_miRNA from 1 species